ACUGUGAAACUGCGAAUGGCUCAUUAAAUCAGUUAUGGUUUAUUUGAUGGUACCUACUACUUGGAUAACCGUAGUAAUUCUAGAGCUAAUACAUGCAGGAAGACCCGACUUCGGGAGGGUUGUAUUUAUUAGAUAAGAAACCAAUCCAGCUUGCUGGUUGCGUGCCGAGUCACAAUAACUGUUCGAAUCGCAUGGCUUCACGCCGGCGAUGGUUCAUUCAAAUUUCUGCCCUAUCAGCUUUCGAUGGUAGGAUCGAGGCCUACCAUGGCGUUUACGGGUAACGGAGAAUUAGGGUUCGAUUCCGGAGAGGGAGCCUGAGAGAUGGCUACCACAUCCAAGGAAGGCAGCAGGCGCGUAAAUUGCCCGAAUCCUGACACAGGGAGGUAGUGACAAGAAAUAACAAUACAGGGCUUCUAAAGUCUUGUAAUUGGAAUGAGUACAAUUUACAUCUCUUCACGAGGAUCAAUUGGAGGGCAAGUCUGGUGCCAGCAGCCGCGGUAAUUCCAGCUCCAAUAGCGUAUAUUAAAGUUGUUGCAGUUAGAACGCUCGUAGUCGGAUUUCGGGGCGGGCCGACCGGUCUGCCGAUGGGUACGCACUGGUCGGCGCGUCCUUCCUUCCGGAGACCGUGCCUACUCUUAACUGAGCGGGGGCGGGAGACGGAUCGUUUACUUUGAAAAAAUCAGAGUGUUUCAAGCAGGCAGCUCGCUCUUGCAUGGAUUAGCAUGGGAUAAUGAAAUAGGACUUUGGUGCUAUUUUGUUGGUUUCNAACACCGAANUAAUGANNAACA
rnacentral:rRNA from 1 species